rnacentral:rRNA from 1 species
AUGGGUUCCUCCCAGGCGCUUGCUCUGUGGGUGGUGAUCACGCACCUCCUCUCCCUUGGCGGCGGCUUCGUCAGCUGCGCCAAGCCGAGCUUCUGGCCGAACUCCGCGACGCACGACGACGCCGGCUGCCUCAGCUGGCGCGUCAUGGUGGAGGCCAACAACGCGAGGGGCUGGCGCACGGUGCCGGCGCCCUGCGUCGGCUACGUCAAGGCCUACAUGACCCGGGGCCAGUACGGCAGGGACCUGGACAGCGUCAUGGAGCAGAUCGCCGCCGCCGCCGACGGCCUCGACGCCUGGAUCUUCGACAUCGACGACACCUGCCUCUCCAACCUGCUCUACUACCAGGCCAAGCGCUUCGGGGCGUACGAUCCCAUGGCCUUCAAGAAGUGGGCUAGCCAAGGGGCCUGCCCGGGGAUACCUCCGGUCCUUGGGCUGUUCGCGGCGCUGCAGGACAAGGGAUUCAAGGUCUUCCUUCUCUCCGGGAGGGACGAGGAGACUCUGGGCUCCUGCACGUCCCAGAAUCUAGAGUCGGAGGGGUUCUCAGGGUACGAGAGGCUCAUGAUGAGAACUCCCGAGUACCGAGGGCAGAGCUCGUCGCUGUUCAAGUCGGCGAUGAGGAAGCAGCUGGUGGACGAGGGAUACAGGAUCCGCGGCAACCUCGGGGAUCAGUGGAGCGACCUGCAGGGCGAAAACGUCGGCGACCGCGUGUUCAAGAUACCAAACCCCAUGUACUUCGUCCCGUGA